CAAAAUUACUAAAGAGUAACGCCAUCCUCCCCAACUCAAACCAGGGAAAGUAAGCUUGCCUAGGAACUUAGGCUGAAACUCACCACAGUGCCAAAAACCUGUUUUCUUAAAAAGAGGUAGUGCAGAUAGUGAAUCCACUGAGCCACAUAGGGUGGGAGUUUCUUUAAGUGCUUUUCUUCUUGCCCACAAACUAGCGUAGGCUGUGACUGGCUCCAGCUGAUCCUUAUCAAGGCAGCUAGUUCUGAGGGCUUGGUUAAGAAGCUCUUCGUUUACUUAAGAGAGCAAAGAGAAGACACGUGAAUUGGAAAAGGAUAUCUAAAAUGUCCCCUAAGGCUUCAUAAAGUUGACAUCUUUCGUCAUGACUUCUACAGUUCAGGAAACCAGCAGGAGACUUUGAUUAAAGUGAGAAGCAGCCAAGAUUCCGGGAAGCGCGUCUUUCUCCUGUCUCCUCCCCCAGAUGUGCGGGUGUCCUUCCCCCAACACCAUGGAAGAAGGGGUCCA
rnacentral:lncRNA from 1 species